rnacentral:scRNA from 1 species
CUCAUCGUCCCCGUGGCUGCCCUGCACAACGU